UGUCAAACAGUACUUCAACGAACCUGCAUCUGUGUUGUACGUUUGCAUAGUUUGUCUCGUGUUGUUCACUAGCAGCAGCUGUAGGAGGAACGUUCUCACCCACUUUAAUGACGUGUGUGUGCGUAUUUGUUGCUUUAAAUAUGAUGUUUGUGCGCACGAAUCUCUAAUAAUGUCUGUGUUUACGCCCAGUGAACGCAGGUGUCAUAUAAGAUUGAUGAUUUAAUUUAUGUUUUGGCAAGUCCCUCAAGGUAACUCAGCGCAGAUUGAUUGCUCAGCAGUGGUUUGUUGUCACAAAAGUUUGGUCAUUUUUGUGGAAAAUGGUUUUGUUCGAUUUUAUAAAAGGGGUAAUAAUUUUAAAAUGAGAAUUUUUUUUCUUUCUUCAAUGUUAUAUCUGUUUAGUAAGAAAAAUUGUGUUUUGACGUAAGUACGUACAAAAUACAAAAGCUACAUAAAAAUACAUCGGACAGCGCCCGUGGUCGAACCAGCAACCCGAGGGUUCGCAGGUGACCAUGUUUAGUAACACGAAGUAACCACUGAGCUAUGCCGACGCAAGGUCCGAAGUCGUCUCAUUCUUUUAAAAGGCUUAACUAAAAUGUUGUCUUGUUUAAUUUCCGAGUUAUUUUUAGCGAAAGCUUGCCAAUUCGCCUAACAUAUAACAUUUUUAUGUUUUAGCUUCAUCUGCCUUUGUGAACUCUCGUCCAGGAUUUAGAUUUCGUUUUCAUUUUUAGCACGUUGACGCAAAACAGCCACUAGGGGGAGCUAAAGCCCAACGAACCACAGGCCACAGCAGAUUCCAGUUACUGUCUCACUGUCUAACGCUGACAGACAUGCACAUGGGAAUUGUGUGAUGUGUACGUGUAUCUAUUCUUUAAAAUUGGAAUUAUAUCUUGUGCUUGUUUUUUUUUUCUUUUACGGUGAUUUAAGUGUUUAUGUCACAUUAAUGUGGACGCAUGACCUCAGGCUCAUUUGAUUACUCCAACAGAUGCUAAGUGCGUGUUUUCCAGGGAGAGACCGAAAUAAAGCGACAACAGAGGCAUGAUGAAAGACACAGAAAAAGCAGCGGAGGGAAAAGGCGGCGGCUCAUAAACGAUGGAGAGACGGAGCGAUGGCGAGGACAUUGUGUGGGAGGAGGGCAGGAGAAAGAGGCCGAAAAAUGACCAUUUAUUUACUUUGAGCCAUGGGGCUGCGGCACCGGCGUCUGCCAAAGACCGAGCGUGAGACAGAAGAGGGAGAGAGGAGGCGAGAGGGAGACGCACGACCGGAGACGACGGAGGGGGGAGCGGACGAGAGACGCACGAGCCAGAGGGAGCUGAGCGAUGGAGCGCGUUGGCUGGUGGAUGCGGCGUACGGGGCUGUGGUGUUCGGUUGACUUACAGUCUGGCUGCGGCUUUUGUGGGUUGGGCUCAGACGAGCAGCGAAACGAGAAAGCAGCAGAGUUCGCUCUGAGCGCUUGAAAAAACACAUUACAAGUGCUUAAU